rnacentral:lncRNA from 1 species
AUUUUUUUUUUUUUUGUCUAAAGCAGUUUAGAUUAAUUUCUAUUUCACGUUUCUUUUAUUGAUGGGGAUAUAGGCUGAUAGUACAUACUUCUUCGUCAAAAGGGCAAUCUCUCAUUUACAAAUCAACUUCUUGAAGGUAACUAAGCAGCUGAUGUCAGCUCUCUUUCUGAAUUUUUUCUUGAGGGCUCUUGCUGUCACCAAAACAAAACAAAAAAAUCCUACCUAUAAAUAAUAUUUCUUAACUGCAUCCUUCGAUUUCAAGAAAUAGAUUUUAUAAGACAACAAAAACCACUCGCAAAUAUUUAUUUUAUUAUAUAACUCAAAGCCUUUAAAACUAGCUGGAGUCUCAUAUCAACUUUUUCAAUAUGAUCCUAUAUUUAAGAGAAUAAUAUUUGGAAGAUUGAGCUCCUUUGUGUAUCAUUACCACACUUCCACCUACAUGCUAUUCCCAUCUUAAGUAAAUAAAUGUCACAUAUUUUUGUUAAGGGAGAGAACUAGGAGAAGUUCAUCCUUUAAAAGCUUCAUAAUGCAAUUUAGAUUUUAUCGAAAUAGUAUAAGGUGAUUUUAACUGGAUACAACCAUCAUCUCAUGUUUGGACACCAAUUAUGAAUAAUGAUAGUAUGCCAAGAAUGUAAAUUUGCAUUUUGUAACUGUGCAGGUUUUCUAGUUUGCCAUACCAUUUAUUAUCAUAAUAUUUGUAGAUUAAGCAAUCCAGAUUAUUUCACUUUGUGCAUCAUUUUUUACUAUAAGAUAUAUGAUAGAGGUCUUAUAUGGAUUGAGGAUGAAGAGUUUUGGGAGUGGUGGUCUAUGAUUUCGGUUGUUAAUCCUAUUAAGGGCAUGUUUGGAUGAUUGGACUGAAAACUUUAGAGGAUUCGUGAGUUGCCUCAAAACCUAUCAAAUUGGAUAGAGAGGUUAAAAAAAAGCAAAUAAACCUGGAGACUGCAAAAGAGAUUCUUAGCUGAGAUGAAGUUUCCAGUCUACAAUCUUGGAUUUCCUCAGCAGAAGAGGAAGAAGGCAUAAGACCCAUGGUACCAAGCACAUCAUUAACUUCCUUCUCCAAUGCAAGCAGAGCUUGAAUAAAUGACUGCUGCUUCUUCUUCACCUAUACAAGUACGGAAUCAGAUUACAAGAGCAAUUUUAGCCUAUGAGUAGCAGAGAACUGGACAUUCUUGGGCACAACCACUCUAAUUUAGAUAAUGUAACAAUAAUACCUCUGCAUAAAGAUAGAUGAGAAGAACAAUACCUUCAAGUACUCCUUCAAGGUACUGUUUAUGGCCUUUUAACAGUUCCAUCGGAUCAUCCAAAACGACAGUGGGUGUGCAAGUCACCUGACAUCGAAGCCAAGAAGUUGGCCAUUCUGGAGGACUUGGAUUAAAGAGAGCGAGUUGCUUAGAGUAUUCCGAAAUUUAUUAUAUUUUGAUUCUUUAAAUGUAUUCAUAUUAGAUGGUAUAAGUAUAGUUCAUCUGCUGUAGCAAAUAAAAAAGAAAAAGUUAGAUAUAAAUCAAUGGUUGUCUGAGAAUAUAUAACCUAACCAAUACAUUAAGGGUGCUUUACAUAGCUUUGAUGAUAUUAUACUAUAUUAAUUAAUAUAAUAUCUUCAUUAAAUUUAAAAGAAGAUUUGAAUUAGAAUAAUAUUUAACUAAAUAAAUUUUUAUGAAGAAUCCGAUAACAGUCAUUAUUCUCAUUAUACAAAGCCAUAUGGUUCUUACAUGUGCAUGAUACCCAGAAUCUUGAAGUGGGAGGUGUUAGAUUUAAUGAAAUCUAACAUCAAACUAGAGAGAUUAAUAAAUAUUUAUUUAUCUCGGUGAAGACACUCGAGCAAACAUUGUAGGGAAACUUAAUAUUAUAAUAAGAACAAUCUUUAAAAAUAUUAUUUUGAUAAAAUGGCGUAUGUUUUUAAUUUAAACGUUGGAAGCAUGGUCGAGUGCGGAAGAGAACUAACGGCCUCCGGAUGCUCGCGUCCCAGCGACGGAGGAGAAGAAGAAUAAUCCCCUCCAACGGUCAGCACCGCCGUCUCACGUUCUCCGCCUCCACUCCCCGGCCUCCCUCUGCAACCACCGGCGACGCCUCCUCAUGGACCCGCGCGAUCCGGUCCUCGGUGGAGCUCGGCCGCUUCUGCCACGCCGUAGCCCUCUACGCCCGCAUGCAGCGCACCGGCCACCGCCCCGACCCCUUUGCCGCCUCCGCAGCUCUCAAGGCCUGCGCCCGCCUCCCCUCCCGCCCCCUCGCCACCGCCAUCCACGCCCAGCUGCACAAGCUCGGCCUCCGCUCCCACGUUUACCCGGAGACCGCCCUCGCCGACUUCUACUCUAAGCUCGACGGCCCCGACGCCGCCAGGAGGGUGUUCGACGAAAUGGCCGUGAAGAAUGUCGUCUCCUGGAACUCCAUCCUCUCCUCCCGCAUAAGAGCCGGAGAGUUGGGAGCCGCCCAGAGGGUCUUCGAUGAGAUGCCAGUGAGGGACGUGGUUUCCUGGAACUCGAUGGUCUCCGGGUACGCCAAGGCUGGGGACAUGGACCGCGCUGCUGCUCUUUUCCAUUGCAUGCCCGAGAAGAACCCUGCCUCUUGGAACGGGAUGAUAAGCGGGUAUAUAAAUCGCGGGAAUAUGGCAAUGGCGAGAGAACUGUUCGAUGAAAUGCCCGUGAGAAGCAAUGUUUCCUGGAUCACGAUGAUUUCUGGUUAUACGCGGAGCGGGGAUGUUGAAUCUGCAAGGGAGCUAUUUGACAAGAUGGAAAGGAGGGAUCUUUAUGUGUGGAAUGCGAUGAUCGCUUGUUAUGCACAGAACGGAUGCCCCAGAGAGGCGCUUCAGUUGUUCAACAGGAUGCGGAAGCCUGAUGUGGGCGUGCAGCCUGAUGAGAUGACCUUUUCUAGUGUCAUAUCGGCUUGCUCGCAGUUGGGGGACUUGAAAUUUGGGUUGUGGGUUGAAGAAUAUAUGUCUUCUAUUGGGAUCGAAUUGGAUGAUCAUUUGAGUACUGCUCUUAUAGAUUUGUACUCAAAGUGUGGAGGAAUGGACAGGGCUUUUGUGCUUUUUGAUGGGUUGAAAAAGAGAGAUACAGUGUCUUAUAGUGCAAUGAUCUUGGGAUGUGGCAUAAAUGGGAGGUCUUCGGAUGCAAUUAGUUUGUUUAAAGAGAUGUUGGAUGCAAAAAUAACACCAAAUGCUGUAACCUUUGUUGGGCUUCUGACAGCAUAUAGUCAUGCUGGUUUGGUGGAGGAAGGGCGCAGAUGCUUUGCUUCAAUGUGGACCAAGCAUAAGAUUCCACCCUCGGCCGAUCACUAUGCAGUUAUGGUAGAUCUUCUUGGUCGGAGUGGAAGGUUGGAAGAAGCAUAUCAGCUGAUUAGGAAGAUGCCGAUGCGUCCCCAUGUUGGUGUAUGGGGAGCCUUGCUUCUUGCUUGCAGGUUGCAUGGCAAUGUAGAGCUUGGGGAGCUUGCUGCUCGGAAUUGCUUUGAGUUGGAGCCUGAAGCAAGUGGGUAUUAUGUCCUCCUGGCUAACGUCUAUGCUGAAGCUGGAAAAUGGGACAAGGCGAAGAGACUAAGGAAGAUGAUGGUGGAAAAGGGGUUAACUAAGAUCCCAGGGUUUAGCUUGGUGCAAUCCACAUGAAGACCCUUCUGUUCGAACACAGUAGGAUCGCUGUUAUGCUGCGAUUCAGAGUUAAAAAAUGCUUGAUGUUGAUGCAUUAUACUGUGAUUUGUAAAGCCAAUGACAUUUCAUUGGAGUAAGGCUGGCAUGGUUAAGGUAUGGAAUCCAUGAACAGCAGGUUCAACUAAGUGCUAGCAUUUAGCUACAUCAAACACUUCUCAGGUAUUCCUUGCUUGAAAUCUAGAUUUUCAUGGCUGAUUACCACUUUAAUGGAGGAAUUGCAUGUCUUGGCUGAGUAUAUGAAAUGCAUGAAUUGCUCCUUGAGUUGAUUUAGCACCGUCAAAUUGUGGGAUUGUGAAGAGAAACAUUCACUGGCUUCUUAUAUGGGUAUUAUAAUGUUGGCUGCCUUCACCGAAUAGCUUUGGUGUCUUUUAACUCCGCAUUGUGACCUCACAUUGCCAUUGACAGGGGAUACUUCACAAAUUGAUUGGAGGAGUACUUGGAGCAUACAAUUGAGAAUGUUGGGAACAGGAACCUUUGGGUCCUUUGAUCGUACAAUUGUGGGCACUGUUUUUGUCAUACAUUCAUCUUGACAUGAUUUUUCCGACACCAGAAAGCUGUUUGAAUUGUUAGGUAUGUUAUAUCUGAGUAUUAACUCGGAUGAUUUUGAGCUUUGUUUUCCAUUGUUUCCAAGACUUUAAUAUCUUAAACCUGCGUAUGAGUUCAAUGAAGCUGUUCUUAGCCCAAUCCCAACGGGACAUUUGGGAGACUGUUUUCUUGGUUAGUUAAGUGUAAUAUCUUACUUGUAAAUAACUUCAUGCAUCUUGCGCCAUAUGUAAUAGCUAAUAUUAUCACUGACGAAAAGGAGCUCCAGUUUGUGAGAUUAAUUGUUGUUACAUAUAGGCGCCUGAUUUGCCAACUCUUUGAAAAUGCCAAAGAGAAGUGGAAAGUUACAAUUAAUGAACCUUGAAUUUUAAAUCUCAACCCGACCCGUAUUUGACUUGUCAUAAGCAGGUUUGGGUUUGGGUUAAACGGGUUCGGAUCAUGAAGAGGUCGACCCAUUUAACCGAUUUAAUAUUCAGGUUGGGUUUGAGUUUCAAAUAUAUGAUCUGUUUAACCCAUUUAAUGCAUUUAAUAUUAGGUUUGGGUUGGGUUAGAUAUCCCGCUUAAUCCAUUAAAUCCAUUUAAAACUUAUUUAACCUGUUUAACCUAUUUCUGUCCUAUUUAACUCGACCCACUCAACAUGUUUAACCCAUUUAAAUCCAUUUGACCUGUUAAAAAUCCACUCAACUUAUUUAAUAAAUUGGUCGGGUUUAGAUUUGAAUUCUGAUCUAUUUAAUAAACAAGUCUGUUCGAAUUGACGAAUUUUUAAUCUAACCCGCAACCAACUUGAUCCAUAUCCGACUCGACCUGAUUGCCACCCCUACCCCUGCCCCCUAAUUGUUGGUAUACAUUGAGAAACCAAUUACUACGGCUAUCUAAAUCACUAAAGCAUUGGAACUUCUGCUUUCUUGGUAGUUCUCAAAGACCAAUUGCCACUUAUGCUUGAUUUUUUUGCGAGAAAAGUGUCCCUGAAACUCUCUUCUUGUCAAGUGAGAUCAUGUUAUAACUAGAUAGCAGUAUGUGAUACAGCUUUGUACUACAGGCACGAUAUGCGUUUCAUUUUCAUUAAGCAGUCAAUCAUUUAUAUUUUUCAUUUAUGUACCAUCAAUCUAAAAUAUGAUUGUGAAAUUACUGUUAAGCCUCUCUUGAAGCACUGAUCUGAGUGUACCUACCUCAAACCCAUAUCAGGCUGCUUCAGUAGAUCUUGGAAAAUUUUAGUGUCAGAAGAAAUUAAAUCAGUCAGCUUGGUUAGAGACCACACAAGCUGUUGGGAAUUGGUAUUGCAUGAAUGCAUUUGCUCGGAAGCAAUUCCAGAUGGUUAUGCAAUGCCAGAUGCAAAUAACACAACAAUCAGACUAGUAAUGGAAGCAAUAAUACAAUGUGCUCAGAAAUGAACAUGCAAACUAUUAAUAGAGAGAACUGAUAAGUACCUUCAAGUCAAAUUUCUCCUUACAACACCUUAUGCAAGCUUCAUUGGACUUAUUGCGCUCAGGACAAUGCUCUUAUUUCCAGCUAACUUUAUCCAGUCUUUCUGCUUGAUACCUUCAUGAUCAUUACAUACAAUCUCUAACAAUACAUGCUCUAGUAAAAGUUUGCUGCAGAAAACUGAUAGACUAGCAUCUUAUACUUGUUACGAAUAACCAUAAGUGAAACGUAAACGAGAAAAAGGAAAUUAGGAAUAAGAAGUACUC